rnacentral:rRNA from 1 species
GACGUAGGGCGCGAGCGUUGUCCGGAUUUAUUGGGCGUAAAGAGCUCGUAGGCGGCUUGUCGCGUCGACUGUGAAAUCCCGCGGCUCAACUGCGGGUCUGCAGUCGAUACGGGCAGGCUAGAGUUCGGUAGGGGAGACUGGAAUUCCUGGUGUAGCGGUGAAAUGCGCAGAUAUCGGGAAGAACACCCGUGGCUAAGGCGGCUCUCUAGUACGGUACUGACGCUGAGACGCGAAAGCGUGGGGAGCGAACAGG